GGAUGAACGCUGGCGGCGUGCCUAAUACAUGCAAGUCGAGCGAACAGACGAGGAGCUUGCUCCUCUGACGUUAGCGGCGGACGGGUGAGUAACACGUGGAUAACCUACCUAUAAGACUGGGAUAACUUCGGGAAACCGGAGCUAAUACCGGAUAAUAUAUUGAACCGCAUGGUUCAAUAGUGAAAGACGGUUUUGCUGUCACUUAUAGAUGGAUCCGCGCCGCAUUAGCUAGUUGGUAAGGUAACGGCUUACCAAGGCAACGAUGCGUAGCCGACCUGAGAGGGUGAUCGGCCACACUGGAACUGAGACACGGUCCAGACUCCUACGGGAGGCAGCAGUAGGGAAUCUUCCGCAAUGGGCGAAAGCUUGACGGAGCAACGCCGCGUGAGUGAUGAAGGUCUUCGGAUCGUAAAACUCUGUUAUUAGGGAAGAACAAAUGUGUAAGUAACUAUGCACGUCUUGACGGUACCUAAUCGGAAAGCCACGGCUAACUACGUG
rnacentral:rRNA from 1 species